UACAGAGGGUGCGAGCGUUAAUCGGAAUUACUGGGCGUAAAGCGUGCGUAGACGGCUAUCUAAGUCGGGUGUGAAAGCCCCGGGCUCAACCUGGGAAUUGCAUUCGAGACUGAAUAGCUAGGGUACGGUAGAGGGAAGUGGAAUUUCCGGUGUAGCGGUGAAAUGCGUAGAUAUCUGGAGGAACAUCAGUGGCGAAGGCGACACCCUGGACUCAUACUGACACUGAGGUGCGAAAGCGUGGGGAGCAAACAGG
rnacentral:rRNA from 1 species